GACGGACGCUGGCGGCGUGCUUAACACAUGCAAGUCGAGCGGUAAGGCCCUUUCGGGGGUACACGAGCGGCGAACGGGUGAGUAACACGUGGGUGACCUGCCCUCAGCUCUGGGAUAAGCCUGGGAAACCGGGUCUAAUACUGGAUAUGACUCCAUGACGCAUGUUGUGGGGUGGAAAGCCUUGUGCGGCUGAGGAUGGGCCCGCGGCCUAUCAGCUUGUUGGUGGGGUGANGGCCUACCAAGGCGACGACGGGUAGCCGGCCUGAGAGGGCGACCGGCCACACUGGGACUGAGACACGGCCCAGACUCCUACGGGAGGCAGCAGUGGGGAAUCUUGCGCAAUGGGCGAAAGCCUGACGCAGCGACGCCGCGUGAGGGAUGACGGCCUGGU
rnacentral:rRNA from 1 species